UACAGAGGUCUCAAGCGUUGUUCGGAUUCAUUGGGCGUAAAGGGUGCGUAGGCGGCGCGGUAAGUCGGGUGUGAAAUCUCGGAGCUUAACUCCGAAACUGCAUUCGAUACUGCCGUGCUCGAGGACUGGAGAGGGGACUGGAAUUUACGGUGUAGCGGUGAAAUGCGUAGAUAUCGUAAGGAAGACCAGUGGCGAAGGCGGGUCUCUGGACAGUUCCUGACGCUGAGGCACGAAGGCCAGGGGAGCAAACGGG
rnacentral:rRNA from 1 species